rnacentral:lncRNA from 10 species
UUUGGGCUUUGGCUGGGUGAUUUGGGGGAGCUUCCACGAUUCACUGUGUGAAAGCCUGUCCAGAAAUCUCUCCUGCUACCCCUCCUGACCCUAUAUCAGGUUCACCUAACAUGCAGUUCUACUGCAGACUCCAUGCCUCUGCUCACGCUGUUUUCUUCUGCCGGGCAAACCCUUAUCGAUCUCUUUAAGGCUCACCUCCUCCACUGUGAAAAACAGAAAAGCAAAACUGACUUCUAGGAGCUUGCCUGGUGCUGUGAGCCAGGCCGUAUGUUUUUGGAAGCUGGCUGGUGCCCACAACAAGGCCAUGUUGUUCUCCUAUUGGACAUAAACAAUCAUGCAGACCACUCACACAAGGACACUCUGCAGUGGUGAUGAUAGGAGAUGACACGAGACCACGUCAUCAUUCUGUGUAAGGACAAAAGCAAGGUCACUGUGCCACCCACAGAAUACCAGACAUUCCCUUCUCCCAGCUGAUAGGAGUGACUGUGGCUUCUUUACACAUUGUAGCUUUAGCCCUACUCCAGCCAAACCUCUUUCUAGAAAAGAUACCGCUACCGGAUGAUAGAAUUUUCCUACCUCCUAUCAGCACUCGAUCCAGAGCAAAC